CGGUGAGGUGACUUGUCUGGUUAAUUCCGAUAACGGACGAGACCUUGACCUACUAACUAGCAAGAAGUCAGUUUUGAUUUCCGUGCUUCUUAGAGGGACUUUGGAAGUUUAUUCCAAGGAAGUUCGAGCCUAUAACA
rnacentral:rRNA from 1 species